rnacentral:lncRNA from 1 species
UUUCUUUAUCCACUCAUUGGUUGAUGGGCACUUUGGUUGGCUCCAUAUUUUUGCAAUUGCAAAUGUGCUGCUAUAAACUUAUACCAAAAGCCAGGUACUGUAAUUUCAUUUAAUUACCACAGAAAUCCUAUGGUGGGGGAAAAGACAUUGUUUUACUGUCUCAAAAGGUUAAAACCUGAAACAAGUGGCUCAAUAUAUUGAGCUAGUGUUGCAGUCUUGCAAAUGCACCUUUAUGUAGCAGUUUCUCUUGUGAGGUAUCACCCUGAGUCCUUCAUCUCACCUCCAAGAUGACUGAGGAGCACUGACACACGGGUGAGGUUGGAGCAAAACUUUUAUAAGCGAAAGGAGAAAGCUCUCUGCAGAAGAGUCUGAGUGGAUUGCCGGGUCACAGCUGAAUGCAAAAAGCUUUUAUAAAAAACUGCUCUCCUCCCUGUAAUUGUUUGAGGAGUAACUUUUCUUAUCAGUAACGCUGUCUGUGCAACUCCCUUUAUCCAGCUGUGGGAUGUUUCUAAGUAAGCACAAAGUGCUGCUUCUCUUGUUCAUGUAACUGUGGGUUUGUUUUAGGUAAGCCUCCUUCCUCCCUGUGCAAGUUCCCACGGAGCCCACUGUGUAUAUGCCUGAAAAGGGGAGGAAACGUUUUCCUGGAGCUAAUUAUACAAAGAACAAAAAUGCUUCUAUGCCUCACUGGCUCCUUAUCAGCCCCUGAGCUUAUCUGUGCAGCUGCAGCAGCUGUGAUUUUUCAGGCAGGCAUUUCCCCCGGGGCCCAGCCUUAACUAUUUACCUAACUGGUUUUUCCCUACCUUCUCCCUCACUAGUGAGUGGCAGGACUAGGUUUUGCAUAUUAGGAAAGGCUGAUUGAGAAGCUCACACUCUUUCCCACAAGUCCAGUAAGCCUCAUUGGCUCAGGUGGAGAUGAUGUUUACUCCUGGAGGUCCGUGUUGGGAGCAUCUGCAGAGAUCACAGAGAUUUAGGUAUAGAACGUUGCAAGUAGAGUCAUCUCCAAGAUACCCAGGAGGUAUCAGCCAUACACUGUUGCAGACACCGCUGACAAGGAACGAGCUUCUUUCUGCUUUGGUCCUAGAUACGUGGAAGAGUUUUCAGCUUCCUAGUUUGCAUUAAAUUUCCAGAAUACAUCAUGCACCUCUUCUUUAGUUUCACCCAUGGAAGCACCAGAUGAAGAACCUUCCCAGAGAACAAUGUGUGUGACAUGUCCAUCCAUUCUGCCUUCUCCUAAGAGUUUGGACAGCUAAUCCGUUCACCGUCUAAAGGAGGGAAGGUAGAGGGUUAGAUUCUGCUGCUGGAUCUUUUUUAUUAAACAAUUGUCAUAUAACUGUGGUUCUCAUGGAUAAAACCACUCUCUCAAAAUUAGGAAAAAUCAAAAUCUGUCUUUCAUGAAUUUACUUUCUCUUUCCACAUAUAAUACUCUCAGUUGUCAGAACCACCAGGCCUCUAGAUAUGAAGAUUUUCAGUGAGAUUAAAUAAUGUAAUGGAAGGGGUUAGGGAAUCUGUCGGCCCCCCAACCCCACCCCACCCAACCUUGUCACUUUUGACGCUAUGUGUUCACAGCUGCCUUGAGGGCCUACACUACGGAUACCGCAUGUCCUUAAGGUUACUUUUAUGCUUUUAUCUUUUUGACCUUUUGAUACAAGACAGGAAUUUAUCUUUAAUAUUUUUAAAGAAUAUUAAAAAUCAUUCUUUUAGUACUUCUCACCUUUCUUUCCUUCUUCUCUUCUCUUUUUAAACAGCUUUGUUGAGAUAUAAUUCAAAUGCCAUACAAUUCACCCAUUUAAAAUAUAUAAUUGGGAGGUUAAAGUAUACAAUUGAGAGGUUUUUAGUAUAUCUGCAGAUAUGUGCAACAAUCACCACAUAUCUGCAACCACCACCACUCAAUUUUAGAACAUUUUUAUCACCUCAAAAAGAAACUUUGUACCCUUUAAAUACAACCCCCCAUCCCUCACUCCAACUUCCAGCCCUAUGCAACCAAGUUAACUUUAAUCCAUCCCUAUAGAUUGCCUAUUUUCAACAUUAUGUGAAUAGAAUCAUAUGAUAUGUGGCCUUUUGUGACUUUCUCCUUUCACAUCAUAUAGUGCUUUUUACAGUUGAUUCAUGUUGUAGCAUGCAUCAGUAUUAGAUUUCAUUAGCCAAAUAAUCCCAUUAUAUAAAUAUAUGAUAUUUUGUUUAUCCAUUUAUCAGUUAAUAAACAUUUGGGCUGUUUCCAUCUUUCAGCAAUUAUGAACAAUGUUACUUUCAACAUUUGGGUACAUGUUUGUGUGUCAAUGUAUGUUUUCAUUUAUCUCAGGCAUAUACCUAGGAGUAAAAUUGAUAUAUUAUAUAACACCAUGUUUGAUAAAUUGACUUUUUAAUAGCUAGACUGUUUUCCAAAGUGGUUGCACCAUUUUACAUUCUGACCAGCAGCGUAAGAAGGUUCUGAUUUCUCCACAUCCUCACCAAAACUUUUUGUAAUCUGACUUGUUCAUUCCAGCUGUCCUAAUGAUUGUGAAGGAGUGUCUCGUUGUGAUUUUGAUUUGCUGUUCCUGAAUGAUGACUAAUUAAAAUGGGCAUCUGUUUAUGUGCUUAUUUACCAUUUCUUAUUUCUUUUUGGAGAAACAGCUUUCUAUUCAGAUGCUUUGACCAUUUUUAGCUGGGUUACUUGCUUUUUCAUUACUGAUUUGUAAGAGCUCAUUAUAUAUUUUGGAUACAAGUCCAUUAUUAGAUAUCUGAUUUGAAAAAAAAUUCUCCAAUUCUGUAGGUUUUAUUUUUCAGUUUCUUGACAAUAUGCUUUGAAGGACUAAGUUUUUAAUAUUGAUGAAGUUCAAUUUAUCUAUUUUUGAUGCUCAUGUUUUUGGUGUCAUAUCUAAGAAUCAUUUACCAAAUUCAAUGUCAUGUGUAUUUAGCCCUGUUUUCUACUAAUAGCUCUAGAGUUUUAGCUCCCACAUUUAGUUCUUGAUUGAUUUUAGUUUUUGUAUAGUAUGCAAAGUAAGGGUCCAUCUUCAUUCUUUUUAUUUUGCAUGUGACUAUCCCGUUGUCCCAUUACUAUGUUGAAAAGGCUAGUCUUUUCCAAAUAAUAGUCUUGCUGCCCUUGUUGAAAAUCAAUUGACCGUUCAUAUACGGAUUUAUUUUUGGACUCUCAAUUCUAUUCCACGUAUCUAUAUGUCUAUCUUUACACCAGUUAAAGAUAGACAUUUAAUUUAAUUAUUUAAAUUAAAAUAGUACAUCAGAAUUUUUUCUUUCCUUUUCUUUUCUUUUUUUUUUUUUGAGGCUGAGUUUUGCUCUUGUUGCCCAGGCUGGAGUGCAAUGGUGCAAUCUCGGCUCACCACAACCUCUGCCCACUGGGUUCAAGCAAUUUUCUUGCCUCAGCCUCCCAAGUAGUUGGGAUUACAGGCAUGUGCCACCACAUCUGGCUAAUUUUGUAUUUUUAGUAGAGAUGGGGUUUCUCCACGUUGGUCAGGCUGGUCUCAAACUCCCAACCUCAGGUGAUUUGCCCACCUCGGCCUCCGAAAGUGCCAGAAAAUAUUUUCUUAAUGCAAAUACUUUCUUCGUGCAUACUUUCUUGAUUGUCAUUGCUUAGUAGAAAGUUUUGAAAUCAGAAAGCCUGAGUCCUCCCACAUCAUUCUUUUUUAGGAUUGUUUUAGCUAUUCCAGGUCCCUUGUCAAGUCCAUUUGAAUUUAAAAUCACCUUUUAAAUUUUUGCAAAGAAGUUAACUGGGAUUCUGAUAGUGAUUAUGUCAAAAGUUGUAGAAUGUUUGGAAAAGUAUUGCCAUCUUAACAAGGUUAAUUCUUCUAACCCAUGUAUUUUAUUUAAAUUUUUAUUGACUUUUAAAUAAUGUUUUUGUAUUAUUUGAUUAUAAGUUUUGAACAUCUUUUGUUAAAUUUAAUCUUAAAUAUUUUAUUCAUUUUGAUACUAUUGUGAAUUAAAUUGUUUUUCUAAUUUCAUUUUCAGAUUGUGUCUUUCAGAUGUAUAGAAAUACAAUAGAUAAAUAAUUCUGGCCAUUAACCUUUUAUGCUUCAACCUUGCUGAACACUUUUUUUUUCUUUUCUUUUUUUUUUUUUUUUUUUGAGACAGGGUUUCACUCUUAUUGCCCAGGCUGGAGUGCAACGGCACAAUCUCAGCUCACCACAACCUCCGCCUGCUGGGUUCAAGCAAUUCUUCUGCCUCAGCCUGACAAGUAGCUGAGAUUACAGGCAUGCGCCACCACACCUAAUUUUGUAUUUUUAGUAGAGACAAGUUUUCUCCAUGUUGGUCAGGCUGGUGUCGAACUCCUGACCUCAGGUAAUCCGCCUGCCUGGGCCUUUCAAAGUGCUGGGAUUAUAAGCCACAUUUUUAAUUCUUAGUUUUUCAGUAGAUUCUUGAAAUUCUUAAUAUAGAAGAUUAUGUAUUUUUGGUUUCUCUAUUCCUCCUUUACUGGUUUAUUU